rnacentral:rRNA from 1 species
UACAGAGGUGGCAAGCGUUGUUCGGAAUUACUGGGCGUAAAGGGCGUGUAGGCGGCCAUCUAAGUCAGACGUGAAAUCCCCCGGCUUAACCUGGGAACUGCGUCUGAUACUGGACGGCUUGAGUAUGGGAGAGGGAUGUAGAAUUCCAGGUGUAGCGGUGGAAUGCGUAGAUAUCUGGAGGAAUACCGGUGGCGAAGGCGGCAUCCUGGACCAUUACUGACGCUGAGGCGCGAAAGCUAGGGGAGCGAACGGG